CAGGGUGUGGUGUAAAGGCUGCAUCCCUCGCUUGGACCGAGGAAGACUGGGUUCGAUUCCUAGCACCCUGAC
rnacentral:tRNA from 1 species